AUUCAUUAUCUUGUGUGCGAGUGACGGACUGACGGUAUGGGUCAUUUUGUAUUGGCUUGCACCACUUUUCAGAGUUGUGAUACAUUGUCCACAAUUAUGAUUAUUUCAAUUUCAUGCACGUCCCAGGUUUAUUAUUACGCGACGAUACCUCGUAAAAGAUAGUACAUGAAACAGUAUAACUACUUGCACUUAACAGCUUUUUUUUCUAGUUCUCUUUUCCU
rnacentral:lncRNA from 1 species